AAAGAGUUUCAGAAUCACGAUGUAGCCACAAGUCAAAUUCUAGAAAGAAUUAAUGGCACAUCUCAUAGUUCUUUCAUUUGCUGGCUGAUUCAUUCCAGAGUGGUUUUGAGGACAGAAUGAAGCAAGAUGAAAAACAGCACUUUGAAAAUGGAGUGUGUGGUAUUCAUCUUAGAUACACUUUUAGAGAAGAAGAAAUGUGUCUCAGAAAAAGGACCUCUUCUGACUCAAAUUUAGCUUACAUCCCCUUCUCAACCAUAUCCCAGGUGAUAAAAUAUGACACCCAGGUAAGCAGUGGCCUUGUGGACUCUGAAGAAGUUCUUAACGUGUCCACGGCACAUUCUCAUUUUGUCUGGCUCUAAACUACUGUCUCAAGAAAGCUGCAAAUAUUUGAAAGUAACAAUAAAGUGUUAACAGUAAUUCUGACUAAAAUCACAGCAGUCCCUCUGGUAGAAAGGCAGUAAAUUCUUUGCUCAGGUAAAACGUAGGAAAGAAACACAAGUAGAAAAAAAUCCCAUUUGUUCAAAUUAUCCCUAUCAAUCUUAAGAAUUAUCGCCAAGUUUGUUUUGUUUUGCAUCAUUAAUAGCCCAAAUCCCACGUGCCAAAAUAAUGUUUACCGCAUUUCUCGAGACAAGUUACCCUUGAGAGCCAGUAUGUCUGAGGCUUCCCAGAAGAGUGAUUUUGGUGCAACAAAUAAUGACCUAUACAAACCAGCCCUUACAACUGCACACACACCACAACACAACACAGUGUCAAGCUAACAUCUGCUUUCCAAAUAACCAUGAGGAUAGCAAUAUGACAUUUCCAGGCCCUUCUCUGAGAAGAAACGACUUUCCCAAGGUGUUGGCUUUGAAACUAGAGUCCUUGCAUUGAUUUGCCAGCGGGUAAAGGGAAUCAUAUAACAGUUCUAAUCACUUCACCGGGCUCUGCAGGCAGUUCACAGAACUAAAGGAAGUGGGGGCUUUGGUUCAUUCACUAUCAGCCAUCAAGUUAUGCUAUUUCCCAUCCUUUUAAUAUCCUUAAAAUGGCAAGGUCUGUGUUUAUGGUUUUGACCUUGAAACUGAAGUAACAGCUCUACCUAUUCUCCCAAAGUUCCAGAUAUACUUUGGGGAACUUUGACUUCUGAUAAGACAGCUGGGGUAGGGGGUGAGGAGAGGGUUGGAAAGUUCUACCUCAGUGAGAAGAUUCUUGGUCAACUAGAGGGAGUGAGGGCUAUCCCACAAGACCUCCCCUUCCCCCACAGGAUGCUCAGGACUUCUUCUCAGCUAGCCAGCAGCUAAGCUGGUAGGGCUGAGAACGGCAUUCCUUUGAAAGAUCUUGGCAAUUUGUGCCUGGAAGUUGAUGCAUUAGUUCUAAAAUUAAACAAAGAUCCUGUAGUGUUCUUCAAGGAAAUAUGGUGUGCCUCUAUGACAAAACACAUUUUUCAAGCUCUGACCUCUGGGAGCUUCAACUAGCUCCAUAUUUCAGGCUGACAAUGCUCACAGGCUACUGUCUAGUUGCCCAAGCCAGGGCUGGUUAGCCAUAUAUUUUCUACCUCCAUCAGCUUUUAGCAUAGGGAGGUGAAGGGAGUAAAUAAAAAGAGGAGAGCCACUAAUUUACAUGCACUUCCCCUCCCAAGACCCUUGGGGAGAAGCCUUGGUAAUUAACUCUAAUGAGAUUAAAGUAACUUGGAACUCUUCAUUUUCCCAGCACUGUAAAACUAAAUCUGCGAUAACCAGUGUGUGGGCAUUAAAUCAAAGUCAGUCCUUUUUCCUGCUAUUUAAUGGCCCCCUCACUCCC
rnacentral:lncRNA from 1 species